UACGUAGGGUGCAAGCGUUAAUCGGAAUUACUGGGCGUAAAGCGUGCGCAGGCGGUUUCAUAAGACAGAUGUGAAAGCCCCGGGCUUAACCUGGGAAUGGCAUUUGUGACUGUGAGGCUAGAGUGUGUCAGAGGGGGGUGGAAUUCCGCGUGUAGCAGUGAAAUGCGUAGAUAUGCGGAGGAACACCGAUGGCGAAGGCAGCCCCCUGGGAUAACACUGACGCUCAUGCACGAAAGCGUGGGGAGCAAACAGG
rnacentral:rRNA from 1 species